rnacentral:rRNA from 1 species
GAUUAGAUACCCUGGUAGUCCACGCCGUAAACGAUGUCUACUUGGAGGUUGUGCCCUUGAGGCGUGGCUUCCGGAGCUAACGCGUUAAGUAGACCGCCUGGGGAGUACGGCCGCAAGGUUAAAACUCAAAUGAAUUGACGGGGGCCCGCACAAGCGGUGGAGCAUGUGGUUUAAUUCGAUGCAACGCGAAGAACCUUACCUGGUCUUGACAUCCACGGAAGUUUUCAGAGAUGAGAAUGUGCCUUCGGGAACCGUGAGACAGGUGCUGCAUGGCUGUCGUCAGCUCGUGUUGUGAAAUGUUGGGUUAAGUCCCGCAACGAGCGCAACCCUUAUCCUUUGUUGCCAGCGGUCCGGCCGGGAACUCAAAGGAGACUGCCAGUGAUAAACUGGAGGAAGGUGGGGAUGACGUCAAGUCAUCAUGGCCCUUACGACCAGGGCUACACACGUGCUACAAUGGCGCAUACAAAGAGAAGCGACCUCGCGAGAGCAAGCGGACCUCAUAAAGUGCGUCGUAGUCCGGAUUGGAGUCUGCAACUCGACUCCAUGAAGUCGGAAUCGCUAGUAAUCGUGGAUCAGAAUGCCACGGUGAAUACGUUCCCGGGCCUUGUACACACCGCCCGUCACACCAUGGGAGUGGGUUGCAAAAGAAGUAGGUAGCUUAACCUUCGGGAGGGCGCUUACCACUUUGUGAUUCAUGACUGGGGUGAAGUCGUAACAAGGUAACCGUAGGGGAACCUGCGGUUGGAUCACCUCCUUACCUGAAAGAAGC